UCGUAAUCUACUGCUCGGUUCGAUGCAGUUUUCAAAAAAACAUGAUGUGUUGCUUUGUAUUACUCGCGGACAACAGCAUUGCCUUAUUGCCAAAAAGAGGCAUAAACACAACAAUGUUUAUUUUGUGCACGUGGAUGGAAGCACAUCCCUGCAAUUUCGUUGUACUGACUCUGUUUGCAAAUCUGCUUCCUGUGGAAAAUUUGCAACAUACACAAUCACAAUGUUGGAACGUCAAGUCAUGGAAUUGAUACAUUCUUCGUUUCAAGUAUCAACUGCUUUGCCUAACAAUGAAGCUGCCAAAAUGAAUAUUUCUCUCGAGGAUAUCAAUCUACCAGAUGAAGAAGACAUAUCGUGCACGGCUUUGCCUUCUAACCAGACGCCUGUCAUACAGCAAAUCAUAAACGGGGACGUAUUACAAAGCGAUCUGGUCAUCGUACGCCAUAAACGGCACAUUAACGGAACAUGGCUGUUAACAAUACAGGACGCAUUUAAUUUAACAUCGAGUGCGGAAGCAAUAUUGAUAAUAUUUAUUUACUGAUUUUCGUAUUUUUGAUAAUAUUUACACAGACAUGUUUUCUGCAGAUGUCCAGAUCGACAGAA